UUCCGAACUCAGCAGUGAAACGCAGUAGCGCCGAUGGUAGUGUGGGAGUUCCCAUGUGAGAGUAGGACAUCGCUAGGC
rnacentral:rRNA from 1 species